CCCCUGAAAUGUCCAUCCUGGAAUUGUGUUGUUUUUGUACAGUGCCACUGAUGUUUUGUUUGAAUUCUCGGGCAGGUUUGACGGCGGAGAUUCAAAAUCUGCAUUCUUGAGAAAUUCUAGAAAGGAACAGAGACAAGAUGUUACUCCGGUGGAAACAAGGAGGAGGAAGAGGAGUAUUUCCGGCAGCCGCCAUGAAUGGUUGGAGGAAGAAGGGAGCCAGAAUGCCAUUGUCACGUGGAGUAAAGAGUAGACUUUGACUUGGAGUUUGCAAGACAAACAGUGAAGCUGAAAGUAGGACCAAUCAUGUGGUUUCCAUUUGCGCUGGCCAUCUAAUUGCCAGAAUAUUUCAAGGGACGAAAAACAGAGAAUAGCCUACAUGGCUCGGAUAACAAAGAAAGCAGCUUGGAUGGCUCAGUAAGGAGCAGACGGCGCAAGCAGCUUGAGUAACUAGGAGAUUUGCUCGAACGACACGCGCGACUUGGGACAUGAUUGCUCGAGCACAGAGGCUUCUUCAACGGCGAGGAGAGCACGCCCCGGUGUGG